AGCCUGCCCAGUGACUACGGGUUCAACGGCCGCGGUAUUUUGACCGUGCAAAGGUAGCGCAAUCACUUGUCUCUUAAAUAGAGACCUGUAUGAAUGGCUAGACGAGGGCUUAACUGUCUCCCCCCUCCGGUCAGUGAAAUUGAUCUAUCCGUGCAGAAGCGGGUGUAAUUAUACAAGACGAGAAGACCCUUUGGAGCUUAAGGUACAAAGUUCAACCACGUUAAACGACUCCGCACAAAGCAAGAACUUAGUGGAAAAUGAAAUUUUACCUUCGGUUGGGGCGACCACGGAGGAGAAAAGAGCCUCCGAGUGGAUUGGGCUAAAUCCCCAAAGCCAAGAGAUACAUCUAUAAGCCGCAGAACAUCUGACCAAAAAUGAUCCGGCUGAAAAGCCGAUCAACGAACCAAGUUACCCUAGGGAUAACAGCGCAAUCCUCUCCCAGAGUCCAUAUCGACGAGGGGGUUUACGACCUCGAUGUUGGAUCAGGACAUCCUAAUGGUGCAGCCGCUAU
rnacentral:rRNA from 1 species